UACGAAGGGGGCUAGCGUUGUUCGGAAUUACUGGGCGUAAAGCGAACGUAGGCGGUGUUCCAUGUCAGAGGUGAAAGCCUGGGGCUCAACUCCAGAAUUGCCUUUGAAACGGGGACGCUUGAGUCCGAGAGAGGGUGGCGGAAUUCCUAGUGUAGAGGUGAAAUUCGUAGAUAUUAGGAAGAACACCAGUGGCGAAGGCGGCCACUUGGCUCGGUACUGACGCUCAGGUUCGAAAGCGUGGGGAGCAAACAGG
rnacentral:rRNA from 1 species